rnacentral:lncRNA from 1 species
AAUAGUCAUGUUGUGAAAGAAAACAUAGAGCAAAAUAAAAAUCCUCAAGAAAAAUAAAGUUUAAAAAAAGUAUGCUUCAAUCUGUAUUCAGACACUGUCAAUUCUUUCUCUGGGAAUAAGCAGCAUUUUUCACCAUAGGUCCUUCAGAGUUUUCUUGGAUUAUUGCAUUGCUGAGCCUUGUUGAAUAGAGAAGGGUGACAGUGUGGCUGGGAAUUCAUUCCUGUUCAAGAUGCUGUUGGCCGAAGGUGAAGAUGGCAGCUGCAUUCACAAGUGAGAAGGAUCCUUCCAGGACUUGGAUGGCUUCCCCAAUUGUGUGAUGACAAGUGUUUUGGUGAGUUUUGAAGCCAGGAGGGGGAUGAUGCAAACAGCCAGAGGAUGACAGAACCUUUGCCACAGAAACCCUCUAAAGAGCACUCUGGAGAAGGAACAGCUAUCACUGAGGCUGUUAAUCAUUUACCUCCUCCUGGAGCCCAACAAGGCAACCAAUGAAAUCCUGCCACCUCCAUCCUCAAUGGAACUCAAAUGAUUCUGUUGACUAUACUAGGUUGAAACAGACUAGAUUAUUUAAUUGAAGAAAUGGAAGAGUGUGCUAAGAAGCCUGAAAAUUGGAGUAAGUUCCAAGAUAUCACUCAAAAUAAAGUUAUUGUUGUUCAGUCA